UUUUGGUUUUGUGAUUGCUUGUUAUGUGUUGGUGGCAAGUUAUCACUAAACACUUAGAGCAAAAAAGUGAUUGCUUGUAUAAUGGAAGAAGCCAAGUUUGCUUUUCUGGCUGAAUUUGAUGGUGCAUCAGGAAGUGAUAGAAAAUUCAGUCCAUUUGCAUGACCUAUUCUAUUGGGGUUAGUGCAUGCUGACCCAAACAAGAAAGUGCACGUGAAGGACCAUGCACUCAUAACUAUUGCUAUAUAUCAAAGAAAACUUGC
rnacentral:lncRNA from 1 species